AUUGAACGCUGGCGGCAGGCCUAACACAUGCAAGUCGAGCGAUGAAGCUCCUUCGGGAGUGGAUUAGCGGCGGACGGGUGAGUAACACGUGGGUAACCUGCCUCAUAGAGAGGGAUAGCCUUCCGAAAGGAAGAUUAAUACCUCAUAAGAUUGUAGUUUCGCAUGAAACGGCAAUAAAAGGAGCAAUCCGCUAUGAGAUGGACCCGCGUCGCAUUAGCUAGUUGGUAAGGUAAUGGCUUACCAAGGCGACGAUGCGUAGCCGACCUGAGAGGGUGAUCGGCCACAUUGGGACUGAGACACGGCCCAGACUCCUACGGGAGGCAGCAGUGGGGAAUAUUGCACAAUGGGGGAAACCCUGAUGCAGCAACGCCGCGUGAGUGAUGACGGUCUUCGGAUUGUAAAACUCUGUCUUUGGGGACGAUAAUGACGGUACCCAAGGAGGAAGCCCCGGCUAACUUCGUGCCAGCAGCCGCCGUAACAU
rnacentral:rRNA from 1 species